GACGAACGUUGGCGGCGUGCUUAAUACAUGCAAGUCCACUGAAGCAGUGGUAGCAAUAUCGCUGUGGAGGCGGCGCACGGGUGAGUAACACGUAGGUAAUCUGCCUUCAGGUCUGGCAUAACUCCGGGAAACCGGGGCUAAUAGCAGAUGAUGCAGCGGCUCGACAUCGAGACAGUUGUUAAAGCUAUGGCGCCUGAAGAUGAGCCUGCGUCUGAUUAGCUAGUUGGCGGGGUAACGGCCCACCAAGGCAACGAUCAGUAGCUGGUCUGAGAGGAUGAUCAGCCACAAGGGAACUGAGACACGGGCCAGAAUCCUACGGGAGGCAGCAGUAAGGAAUAUUGCUCAAUGGGAGAAAUCCUGAAGCAGCAACGCCGCGUGAGGGACGAAGGGCUUUGGAUUGUAAACCUCUGUAGUGAGAGAAAAAAAUCCCAAUCUUUGGGACAUGAUGGUAUCUCAAAAGUAAGCCCCGGCUAACUACGUG
rnacentral:rRNA from 1 species